rnacentral:lncRNA from 1 species
UCACCGCGCCGCCUGCGCUCUCCCGCCUGCGCCCGAGCCCAUCUCAGAGGGCGCCUUCCUCCGGGUCCUGGCGUGCGGAGCCCGAAGCCGGGGGCUCUCUUUUCCCUCCAGCAAAGGGCAUUGUUUGCACCUCCACAGCCCCCGGCACUGUCGUGCACCGAAGUGCGCUCUGGGGACCCGAGGACGGUGUGGCCCUCCGUUGUGGAACCCAAACACGAUGUGGGUCGCGCUUCGCUUCUGGGCGUGGGGACAACUGAGUCAGCAGUUAGGACUGGACUCCCUCGCGGAGGACCGAGUGGGGAAGUGAAGCCACAGAAGCAGGAGUGCUACAAUGGUGGAUGGAAUCCAGAGAAAUCAGACCCUUCACAUUUACUUUUUUGCAGCUAUUUCAGAGAACCAGAUGGAAGAGAAACUGAGCAAGCAAAUGAAAGUCUCUGGGGAUCCUGAGAACUGAACGUUUGGGAAAAGCAUAUUCCAGACCAGAAGAUGGUCAUGGUAAAUGUGCAGUUUUAUUCUCACAAUCUCUGUUCUUUAGAAAACUAGUCAUAUUUG